rnacentral:rRNA from 1 species
UAGCGAAAUUCCUUGUCAGGUAAGUUCUGACCCGCACGAAAGGUGUAACGAUUUGGGCGCUGUCUCGGCAGCAGACUCGGUGAAAUCUUAGUACCUGUGAAAAUGCAGGUUACCCGCAACUAGACGGAAAGACCCCAUGGAGCUUUACUGCAGCCUGAUAUUGAAUUCUGGUCAUACAUGUACAGGAUAGGUGGGAGACAAAGAGACGUGCACGCCAGUGUACGAGGAGUCGGCGUUGGGAUACCACUCUUGUGUGACCGGGGUUCUAACCUGGUAUCGAUAACAGGUACGGGGAGAGUGUCAGGUGGGCAGUUUGACUGGGGCGGUCGCCUCCCAAAGAGUAACGGAGGCGCCCAAAGGUACGCUCAGAUUGGAUGGAAACCAAUCGACGAGUGCAAUUGCAGAAGCGUGCUUGACUGUGAGACUUACAAGUCGAACAGGGACGAAAGUCGGGAAUAGUGAUCCGGCGGUGCCGAAUGGAAGGGCCGUCGCUCAACGGAUAAAAGCUACCCUGGGGAUAACAGGCUGAUCUCCCCCAAGAGUCCACAUCGACGGGGAGGUUUGGCACCUCGAUGUCGGCUCAUCGCAUCCUGGGGCUGUAGUAGGUCCCAAGGGUUGGGCUGUUCGCCCAUUAAAGCGGUACGCGAGCUGGGUUCAGAACGUCGUGAGACAGUUCGGUCCCUAUCUGUUGUGGGCGAAGGAGAUCUGCGGAGAGCUGUCCUCAGUACGAGAGGACCGGGAUGGACCUACCGCUGGUGCACCGGUUGUUCCGCCAGGGGCAUAGCCGGGUAGCUAAGUAGGGAAAGGAUAAGCGCUGAAAGCAUCUAAGCACGAAGCCUACUCCAAGAUGAGAUCUCCCAUUCGCAAGAAGUAAGACCCCUUAAAGACGAUAAGGUAGAUAGGCCAGGGAUGGAAGUGCAGUGAUGUACGGAGUUGACUGGUACUAAUCGGUCGAGGACUUAAUCAG